CAGCACCCGCUCCACGCCCGGCUCCUGCCCAGGAAAAUAAAAUACCCAAAAAUAACCACAAAAAUCAGCCCCAAAUAAUCCCAAAAUAGCCAAAAAAAUCCCAAAAUAAUUUGAAAAUAUUCACCCAAAAAUUUCGAAAAAUAACAAAAAAAAAAUCAGCUCAAAAUCAGCCCCAAAAUAGCCCAAAAAUCAGCCCAAAAUCCCCCCAAAAUCAUCCCCAAAUCCACCCCAAAAUCAGCCCAAAAUCAGCCCCAAAUCAGCCCAAAAAUCAGCCCAAAAUCAUCCCAAAAUCACUCCAAAAUCAGCCCAAAAUCAGCCCCAAAUCAUCUCCAAAAUCAUCCCAAAAAUCAGCCCCAAAUCAUCUCCAAAAUCAUCCCCAAAUCAGCCCCAAAAUCAUCCCAAAAUCAUCCCAAAAUCAGCCCAAAAUCAUCCCAAAACCAUCCCCAAAUCAGCCCCAAAAUCAUCCCAAAAUCAGCCCAAAAAUCAUCCCAAAAUCAGCCCCAAAAUCAGCCCCAAAUCAUCCCAAAAUCACCCCAAAAUCAGCCCAAAAUCAGAACAAAAUCACCCCAAAUCAGCCCAAAAUCAUCUCCAAAAUCACCCCAAAAUCAUCCCAAAAUCAGCCCCAAAUCACCCCAAAAUCACCCCAAAAAACCCCCCCAAGACUACCAAAAAUUCCCACAAAAAUAUCCCUCAAAAACAAACAACAAAACAAAAAAAAAUCCCAAAAAGUUCAAAAGAAAAAUUCAUAAAAAUUCCACAACAUUUUAAAAAAAAAUCCUCAAAAAAUCCAAAACGAUCCCACAAAAAAUCCCCAAAGAACCCCCAAAAUAAAACAGAGAAAUCCCCCCAAAAUCCCCCAAAAUCAUCUCAAAAAAAACCCACAAAAAUAACUCAGGGAAAACCCAAAAUCGCCAAAAAUUCCCACAAAAAUCCCACAGAAAUGCCAAAAUUAAAAAAAAAAAAAUCCUAAAAAUAAUUCAGGGAAAAUUCCCCCCCAAAUAAAACCAGGGAAUCCUCAAAAAAACCCCA
rnacentral:lncRNA from 1 species